rnacentral:lncRNA from 1 species
UCUGGUUUAAGGGAGCUUCGCGGCCGGCCCAGCGGCUCGGCUCUGUUUCCUCUCUCUCAGGCUUAAAAGUCAACCAUCGAGAGUCAAAUACGAAGUCGUCACUGCUCACAAAAGGUCGCGUCUUCACCGGGUGGGAUCAGUUGUGCCAGGGCCCGCCCCAGGAGAGCUGUGUCGGGGGCACUCACGCCGGCAGGUGUUGGAGAACACCAGAAGGUUCUGCUCCCUUCCUCCAGGCAGGCAGGGGCUUGGGGAUGAGAUCAGCUUUCUGAAUAGGGAUCUAAUUUAAAUAACGGCGGGUUUAAAUAAUGGUGAAUUCAUUAGCCCCGCUGGGGUGAGGUUUGCAUUUAUAAGAAGGCUGGGGGUGGGGAGGGGGCGCUAGGGGUGCUUUCCACUGAAAGAGAUGUCACUCAUCCUGGGCUAGGCCCUGUGGGCAUCCCUCCGGGUGAGGAAGGAGUGGGACUUGCUGGGCUCUCUCACUGGCUCAGGGAAAGAGGUCAUGGGAUGGGGUACCUGCCUUGGUCAUCCAGGGGCAUGGGAGCCCUACCUUGGGGGCAGUGAACAGGUGUGUCCACGUUAACAAGUUAUGUCCCUAAAACACUACAGCGCUGGCCCGGCCUGGGCUGGUGGGAAGCCAGCACGGAGCAGCCCCCGUGGUGGGGAGAUGGGGUCGGCCAGGGGACCCCGGAGUGUCAGAGAGGACCGGAGACAGGAGAGAACAUCCUGGAGCUACUGCCACCUCUGGGGGUGUUUCCUUCCUGGUUCAGCACAGUGUUCGGGAUAAAUAGCUCCUGUAGGGGUUGGCUGGCAGGACAUAAUAAAAGGAUUCAAUUAGCCGUGAAGUCGCGCACGUGUGUGUGUGUGUGUGUGUGUGUGUGUGUGUGUGUGUGUGACAGAGAGAAGGUGACCAAGACACAGCCUGGGGCAGCUGAGAUCUCCUGGCUUUCCUGACCCCGGGAAGGUGCCAUCACCUGCGGAGCACCCCAGAGGCUGAUGAGGCUCCUGCAGGGGUGCAGUGGGCCUGCAGCUGCCCUAGUUCUCGGAGCAGAUGCCGCCCCCAAGCUGAGGCCGAGCGGAUCUCCAGCUCCAUUUGGUUGCUGUCUUCAGCUGUGUGAAGCAAAUGAAUGCAAUCACUGGCUCAGCUCCCACUCGGGGCUGACAUUUCCCCUAAAUCCUCCACCCCCCACUCCCACACCCUCUGUGAUGCAACACAAUUCAUUCACUAUAAUUUGAAGGUUACAGUCAAAUUGCUCCAAGACAAGAAUGCGGACUGGAUCGGGUCAUACUUCCUGCCUUACGAAGGCUCAUCUUGGUUUCACAUCCAGAGGCCCUCCUGCAGCGUGUUGCCUCAAG